rnacentral:rRNA from 1 species
UAGGGAAUCUUCCACAAUGGGCGAAAGCCUGAUGGAGCAACGCCGCGUGUGUGAUGAAGGGUUUCGGCUCGUAAAACACUGUUGUAAGAGAAGAAUGACAUUGAGAGUAACUGUUCAGGUAUUGACGGUAUUUAACCAGAAAGCCACGGCUAACUACGUGCCGG